UUACGGUACGGGAGCUUUUCAGGGUCGGCAUCCGAAAAAAAAAGCGAUGGCGUUGUAAAUUCUUAUCUAUCUCUCAUUUCCGCGUAACCCUUUAUUUCUUCUUUGUCGGCGGUGGUGUUGUUAUCGUUUCACGCGUUUCGCACAAGUUGAUUGGAACCGGCGGCGAAUAUAUCGCGGUGUACUUGCUUUAAAAAUUAACGUAACGUUGAAAUCACCGAUAGUGUAAGGGUUUACG